UACGGAGGGUGCGAGCGUUGUCCGGAUUUAUUGGGUUUAAAGGGUGCGUAGGUGGGUUAAUAAGUCAGUGGUGAAAUACGGUUGCUCAACAAUCGAGGUGCCAUUGAUACUGUUAAUCUUGAAACAAGUGGAGGUUGCCGGAAUGGAUGGUGUAGCGGUGAAAUGCGUAGAUAUCUGGAGGAAUACCGGUGGCGAAGGCGGCAUCCUGGACCGGCAUUGACGCUGAACAGCGAAAGCUAGGGGAGCAAACGGG
rnacentral:rRNA from 1 species